rnacentral:rRNA from 1 species
UAUGUGAUCGUCUCUCGCAUAUCAAUAAGCGGAGGAAAAGGAAACUAACAAGGAUUCCCCUAGUAACGGCGAGUGAAGCGGGAAGAGCUCAAAUUUGAAAUCUUAAAGGGUUUCCCUUUACGAAUUGUAGUUUAAAGAAGUGUUUUCUGUUGAGGUUUUGGUAAAAGUUCUUUGGAAUAGGACAUCAUAGAGGGUGAGAAUCCCGUAUUUGACCUUUACUUUCAACUUUGUGAUACACUUUCAAAGAGUCGGAUUGUUUGGGAAUGCAGUCCAAAAUGGGUGGUAAAUUUCAUCUAAAGCUAAAUAUUGGCGAGAGACCGAUAGCGAACAAGUACCGUGAGGGAAAGAUGAAAAGAACUUUGAAAAGAGAGUUAAACAGUACGUGAAAUUGUCAAAAGGGAAGCGUUUGACACCAGUGUUGUUUUUCUGAAAAUCAAUUAAAGAACUGUUUAUGCUAAGUUGUUUAGACUUUAUCAGCUAUCUGUUUAGUUUUGAGCUUUUCUUUAAUGCACUUUUCAGUUAACAAGUCAACAUCAAUUUCUUUUGCUGUAAAAAGGCUUGAGGAAGGUGGCUUGAGAUUCGUCUUAAGUGUUUAUAGCCUCUUGCCUAUGCAGUCGGAGAGAUUGAGGUCUGCAGUGUAGAUCCUUCGGGGCUAAAUGCAUUUGUGCUAAGUUAUAGCAUUUUAUAGACAACUUGUUGACUAUGAUUUGUCUUGUAGCUUACUCGCUUAUGUUAUUUUACCUACGCUUAGGAUGUUGAAGUCAUCGUAUCGCGC